CUCUCUGAGGAGGGUCUUGCAAACUCACCACAUGUGUUCCUUGCAAUUCCUUUCAGGUGUCAGGGCCUGUUCUGAGCAGGAAAAUCGUCUCCCAAUUUUGACUCAGUCCUCAACAAUUGUAUUUAAUUGCUGUAACUCCUGGAACUUGAAAAAGAAGACAUUCUUUUUCCUAUUCACCCGGAACAGAAGAGAAUAAAAUUUAGGCAAGAACUUGUAAGGAAGAAGAGACAGGAGAACUCCAGAAAAGCGGACAUGCCAGCCAGUGGCGCGGUCGUGCCGCCGGAGUAGGACUAAGGGAGGCUCUCCCUUUCUUCUUCGCAUUCUUAUGUAGCACUGUAAUUUUUCAAAGCCAACUGCAUUACUCUGGAAAUUGGGGAAAAUAUUUUCAAAAUAAGGGAAACAAAAAGAAAAACUUGCUUUAUCCUGAAUGCUGGGGAAAGCUGUCUCAGAGCCCCACAGCACCCAAGGGCCUGCUCCUGAGACCUGUGUUCUAGACAACAGAGCCUCUCCGUGUGACUGGGCUGUAUAGAUCCUGUCCUAUUCUCGUCCGCCAGGACUUGGGAGAGAAGUCACCCGAGAUACAGUUGUAUAUAUUCCAGAAGACUUGGGCCAGGAACCCUGAUGUUUCCAUUAUGCAAUCAAGAAGGACAUCCUUGAAGAUUAAUUAGUCUGAAACAUUCUGGGGCCUCCAAAUAAGCUUUGUUGAUGUUUAACAGACCCACAGUUUUAUCCCUCAGUGCUGGGCUUGGCAGUAGGCAUUGGGAGGGGAAGGAAAGUAAUGCCUCUCUGUCCCUUUAAGUCCUAAAUUGUUUUUAGGUGUUUGUUUAGAGACAGCAUUGGGAUGUUGCCUGCCAGGCAGGGAAGAGGGUGGACGUGGCCUCCUUCAGACCUCUCCUCAUCAGAGUUACUGUUUCGAGUAACGAGGAAGCACGGGAAUUGAUUUGAUGCCUAAUGAAUAAUCAGCUGCCAUCAAUAAUUGUAAUCACUAAUCUGGUGCAAUUAGAGGCAAUUAUAAUAAAUGCAAUUUCCUCCCGAGCCACUAACGAACUACAGAAAUAUGAAUUGACUUAAGGGGGCUGGCAGUGAUUUAUGUGAUUGUGAGAUCACGAAUACCAUUAUCUUUGUAAAGAUUCUUAAAGGAGCAAGGUCCUAGUCUGAUUUCACUCUUAACUAAUGAGAAGCUAGAAAAUACAAUUCUGGAGGUGAGGAGCACAGGUGCCUACUCUAUCUCUCCUACAACUAGCUUCGGAUAAUCGUAGAUACCUGUGCAGACUCAGCUCAGACUGUCACUUGAAGGUCUGUUCCUGUACGUUUUGCUUACUAGAGAGAGAUUCUGAGUUCACACCUUCAAGUCUUGAAGAACAAGGACUAAAGCACCCAAUCAAUUCUGCAAGAGAGGGUGUUGACAGCAACAUCUGGAUGGAGGCGGCCUUUGUUAUUCCCAAGGGAGGCAUGUCUAUUGGCCCAUUACCCUUUCCACAUCCAGAUGAAUCCCCAGAUUUCAUAAAGAUUUUAUCUUUAUGUAAAUUGAAGGAAACUAGAAGUUGUCAAUAUCUUACAAAUGCUUAAAUAACUUUAAUUAUGUUAUUCUGAUUCCUAGAAAUUUUGAUUGACCAUCAAUUUUCUAGUGAAUCAGCCAGAGACAUUGGAAGGACUCCACCACAUGACCCUAAAGAACUGUGACAACACUCUAUUGCGCAACAGUGAGAGUGGGAGGGCCCAUCAUGCUUCAGAGCUAACAGCUGUCACCUGGACCACCCUUGGCCACAGGGGCACACAGACAAAUGAGCUUUGUCUACCUUCCCUCUGCGAGCAGUAUCAAGGACCCUGAGAGGCAAAUCUAAAGUGAAUUUUAAAAACAUGUUCAGUGGUGGUGCAGAGCAAUCCUGCUUCCAAGGAAAGGCCUCUUCCCCCUCUCUCUUCAGUGCCACUGGAGCGGCUCGUUCCAUUGAAAAUCCAGCAGGGAUUUGUGCCGCACGGCUAUGCAGCAGGGGCGGGCCGAGUUCAUACCAGCCAUCAAGGGCUCAGCAUGGUCUGGAGGGCUUUGUGCUCAGACACUCAGGCAGCCCAGCUCAGACCGAGCACACCCCUCUUCCUGCUGAGGCCACAGUGCAAGUGUUUCUGUAAGUGACUUUUCAAUAAUGGCCCCGUGCCUAAGAAGGAUACCAGUAUCAUCGUGGCUGAAAGUUUCUCUUCUGCCUCCAAAUCUUGACCUCUCCCUAAAAUAUCAUAAUAAGACUUUUUUAUUUGGGCAGAGAAAUAAUCUGCUGAUUUAUGUUUGGCUGGGAACGGAAGAACUAACGUUGACCCAACACCUGUGAUACGCCACAGACCCUGUCAUGUGCUGUCCUAUUUAUUUGUUUAUUGAUUUAUUAUUUUGUGUACUGUCUUAUUUAAUCCCAACAGGAGAUUUCUGGUAAAAUUUUAGCCCCACUUCACAGAGGAGGGAAGCAAGAUUCAGAGCCGUUUUGCAACUCGCCUGAGGCCACAUGCUAACAAUGAAAGUUUGAUUCCCUAGCGGUCCCUAGCCCCUCUGGCCCUGGACUGACGUCACUGCUCAUACCACCUCCACAUAAGCAUCAGGAGAGCCUCUCCUUUACCCACGUUUCUAACCACAGAGUUAGAGUUUUUCCUAAUAGCAAGGGGGUGGAAGGGGCUUGGUGACUAGAGUUUCAGAUGCCCCCAGAGAUGUCAUAAGCGACUCACUUAUUAUUCAGGGAAAUACCCAACAGAGUGAUGACUUCUUUCCUCGCUAUCAGUAUCCACUACCAGCUGUUCACUUGGAUCGGGGGAUAUGAGGGAUUUAACUCUGAAUUCAUGAAUGCCGCUAAAGCUCCUUCAGAGAGGAACCACGGGGAUUAGUGCUUGUGGGACCCGAGUGCCUGGUAACUCAAAGGACCAGGGCACAAACAGCAUGUUUUGAUGGGGCUGUGGAGAGUGCCUUACGCAUGCUAGGGUGAGCUGGGGGAGCACAGAAGGAGGUCUGUGCCUUGGGAGAUGGGCCUUCAAAUCUACAAGAAAAUACAGCAAAUAAAACUGUUAGAUAACAUCUGCCUUGGGCACUGGACAGAACUGCCAUUUGUUUUCUAUGGAUGUCUGCUUUGCUGCUGUAGUCUUUUUUUCCUGGUUCUGCAAUUUUUUUCCUUCUUCUUCAGCAUCUCUCAAACUGGAUUUCCUGUCAGAUUGCACACACGACAUGCUUUGUUUCCUAUGAUCCGUAUCACAACCCUCAAACAAUUCCUUCCCCCAGUUUGCAGAAGGGAAACCCAAGGUCAUC